GAAUCCAGAAUGUGUUCAGGUAAAUUGCUAAUUCUAUCAAUCUCACCAUUGCACUGUUGUUCAGACAGUUUUUGCUUUUUAGAAUUUUCUGCAGAAGCACUUGUUUCCAUGACUAAGGAAACCCAGAAGCUAUACUGUAAUAUCCAAGAACAAAAGAACUUAUGACUGAUGAACAGUAGUGUAUGCUCAAAGCAUAAAAGGAAAGGCACAAACAUUGCAGAUAUCUCUCUUCUUUUAAGUUUUCUCUAUCUGAAUGUCGAAGACAUAUUACUUAUUUAUCAAAAAUGUUUCUAAAUUGAUAUGUAUAAUUAUUAUAUAUUUUCCAAGAUGUUUUGCAUUUCUAAGAUUUCCAUAUUACUGAGUAAAUAAUCAAAUUAAUUUUAGGCUGAACUCCAAGUUAAUUAAUUCCAUAAUGUAGAACAAGAUAAUUAUAUUUUAAGUAAAUAAAUAAAUGUAGCAAACAAAAAUAAUCAAGCUGGUUUCCUUUUAAUAGUAACAAAACUGUAUCAAACCAUCUUUAUGGUUAGAGUAUCAAUGAAUAAGGUAAUCUAAAAUUAUCAUUAUUUUAUAUAUAAAUUGAAUUAUCAAUUAGGGUUAGAGUUCAUUAUUAGUGGCAAAAAAAAUUAGAGUUCAUUAAACUUUAGAUCAUUUCGUCAUGUGAUAUAUUAGUUUCAAGAGUUAUUUACAAAUCCUCUAUAUUAAGUAAAAUGAUAUAUAAUUCAAUCGAUCUCACUUAUUGAGAAAAAUGAAAACAUUUGGAGGUAUGAAGAAGUGAAGUGAAGAACUACAAUAAAAUUAAUAAUAAUGAAUAAUCUCAGCUCAAAUAUAUGUGUAGAAGAACAUAGAUGACAGUAUUCACCAGAGCUUGGACGUUUGGUUGCAGAUCGAGAAGAAAGAGGGAAAUCCAAAAUUUUAGUUUUUUAACGAGGGAAAAGUUUUGUAGUGGUAAAAAAACAAGUGGGCUGGAUUUAGUUUCUUAACGAGGGAAAAGUUUUGUAGUGGUAAAAAAUCAAGUGGGCUGGAUGUAACGAAAUACAGGCCCUUUUAGAUAGAGCCCAGCCCAACAAAGAAAGCCAGGUGUGGUGUUUGAUGAUAAGUAGGGUUCUUUCAACUAUAAAUUAUUGUUUCUCUUUUUAUUCUUCCAUCUAAUUAGGGUUUCUUCUUCAUAUCCAUUCUAACACCACACCACCAAUAACAUGAGGGCUAAGGUAACAACAACAUCUUCAACUCUCUCUAUCCCUUAAAAUUGUUGUUGAAAUUGAUAUAUUGUGUGAUUUCUCUAUCUUUUAAAAUUGUUGUUAAAAUUGAUAUAUUGUGUGAUUUGUUUGUUUGUUAUUUGAUUUAUACAACAGUGGAAGAAGAAGCGAAUGAGGAGAUUGAAGAGGAAGCGUCGAAAGAUGAGACAGAGAUCCAAGUAGAUUGAUCGAAAUCAAAGUUUUAUGUUUUUGUUUUUGUUUUAGAUCGGCUUAGGUAUCGGUAGAUAUAUGUAUCGGUAUCGGAGUUUUCUUUUUAGCUCGGAAACGAUUUCACCUUCGGUUGAUGAGUCGGAAUAGCUACCAAAAUAGUGGUUUUAUGUUUAUCGUAAUUUGUAUCGGAUUUUAUGGUUUUUUCGUAAUAUCGGAAGAAUCGGAUUAGUAGCUUAUGGUUAUUUGGCUUAAUGUUUGAUUUGAUUAAUUAGUUUGAUUUAGUUUUUAACUUUUUAUUAAAUAGAGAAGAUAGCAUGGCCUGAGAUUAAGAUUAGUUUCAUAAUUCCUUUAUUCAUGAUUUGCCCCUUGUAUGCGGUUUUUAUUUAAGCAAUUUUUAUCACUAGAAUUAGUCAUGCUUUCACACUAAAAACCUUCACAUGAUAGUUGCCUAUAGUUUUUAUCUGCUUGUAAAGUUGUAUGCCAUGGUCUAUUAUGGAUUGAAUGGUCUAAAAGUUUGAAGCAUGUUUCAAACUUCUGAUGUACUUAGUCCGAUAUGGUCAUGGGAAUAUAGGAAUGUUAUGGUAGUUCUUGUUGUUUCCGGCUUGCUUGUUAAAUGUUGGUUUAUUGCAUUUUGUUGUUGUUGUAGAAGACACAAUAUUGUAGUGCCUGUUUAGGCUGUAUCAUAAUGCAGGCAUACAUUAUCUGAGCCUUUCUGCAAGCCUUACUCUUUGCCAUCAUAGAGUUUGUAUUUUAUGUUUCCUGUUAGGUUUGAGGCACAUUCGCUGAUAACACCUUGAGUUGGCAUACUGCCCUACCAUGUCAAGGUUUGGAAAUAAAGAAAACCUUUAAGCAUGUUUUUGUUUCUAAAUGUUGCAUUGUACCGUUUUUGUAUAGAGGAGUAAGGAGGUGCAGUUUUUACUUCACCGAUGUGCCUAUUCUUACUCCGGGAGUACUGUUAAUUUCUAUUACUUGUGAUGCUGGCAAACAUGCCUUGUUAGUUGUUACAAUGGAUUGGAUCCAUCUGUGAUUAAAUGUGAUUUGUUAAGCUAUGGAUGGGCAGAAUUGGUUGUCAUUUGGUUUGCUAAAAUGCUAAGUACUGUACUUUAAACAGUUCCUAAGAGCAAUCCCAAUGGGAGGGCAGUUUGGUGCCCUCCACGUAGGUGUAGGUUUGGGGAUGACUCUAGUUAUUAGGUGGUAAACAUUUGUAUUUUUGCAACCCAACCAACCCAACAAAGCAGGGCCUAUAGCAACUUAGAGCAUUCCCAAUGGAGGGUGGAUAAAUCCACCUCUACGUAGGUGCCACGUAGGUCCACCUAGGCAAAAUCCACCUCAAAGAGAGAGGUGUAUUUGCACUUGGGUGGUAGUUUCCCAACGCAGAGUGGACUCUUUGGUAUAGAAAGUGGAUUUUUUUAAAAAUCCGGACGGCAUGUCACAUGUCGUCCCAUUUUUUUUUGCAAAAAAAUAGGGAGACGGCAUGUCACAUGCCGUCCGAGAGUCCAAAAUUUUAAAACACUACUUAAAACUUAAAAAAACAAACGGAUGCCGUCCGAGAGUCCAAAAAUUUUAAAACACUACUUAAAACUUAAAAAAACAAACGGACGGCAUGUAAGGAUUUAUCCACCUUCAAAUCCACCUUCAAAUCCACCUUCAAAUCCACCUUCAAAUCCACCUGUGGGCAGCCCACCUCCGAAAUCCACCUCCCCUUGGGAAGCUCUUUUUGUCUACAAGGUGGAUUUAUCCACCCCACCUCCAAAAUCCACCUUGCAUUGGGAAUGCUCUUAUGUGUUUCAUUUUGAUGAAUAGGUCUAAUAACAGUUGGGUUUUUAUACUUUUUAUGUUUCUCUAGCCAGUCUUAUUCGCAGUCUUAAGUGGCCAUUGUCUUGUGUGCCAGAGUAGCACACUGCGUGAAUAACCUUGAGAUGAUAGUGGGAGCAUAUGCACUGGGGUACAACAGUAAAUCUUUUUAUUUGAAUGCACAAUGUAGCUUAGGACACAAUCAACUCACUUUAUGUCUCUAUCCAUAGUCGUGCAAUUGUGUAUACGGAAUAAUUCUAUGCUUACAAACUUUUUUCACAAACUACCUCCACAAACUGAUGGGGAUUCAACCGAUAAAUAAAUCAGAAUUUUCUUAUGUACUCUUUUUUAGUUCUUUCCAUGAAACCGAAACUCUUUUGCAAGCAUCUCUCUUCUCUCUUUUUUUUUUUUUUUUUUUUUGUUAUUUUUUUAAUUAUAAUUAAUAAACUCAACGAAUUACACAAAAGUAGAGGACAAACGCGCUACAAACUGCGCGGAAAGUCCAUUCUGGAUAGCAAACUCGAUUCUCCUAAAUACAUAUUCGUUCAAACCUGCAGUCAUCACGUUACUUUUUUUUUGUGUGGAGUUAUUUUAUUUCUCACUAGUCCAGAAUUUGAAAAUAAAUAUCUUAUUAAUCCCAUAAUCAAUUUUAUACGAUAUUAUUAAAUCUUUCAUUGGUAUAAUAAAGGAAGAAGAUGAUUUUAUCUCGAAAACUUGUGAUAAAAGGAAAGAACAAUGGGUGCUUAGGGGUAAUUUACCUCUUUAAUUAUUUCAUUAACUCUACCCUAACUGGUGCUUAGGGGUAAUUUAUAAAUCUCACUAAUAAAUUUUUUUUAUUCUUCACACAAUUAGGAAAAUCCUUUUGAUUUUGAUUCAUUCCUAAAACAAUAUUCAUAUUAACAACCAAUUUUUUUUUUCAAUUUCCUCUAGUUUUACUACUAUUUAUAUCUAAAAUUUUAAAAAUAUUGACAAUGAUUAUUCAAUUAUUCAUUAAAAUAAAAAAUUGACAGAAGAUUGAUCAUGUUUAUUUUGCAAGAGUUCCCAUUCCUGAUGCACAAUGAUUUUCGAGUCUAUACUGUUAUAAUCUUAUGAGUUCCUUAUAUAGUGGGGAAAAAAAAAGAAUGAGACAGAGUAAGAAUCAAAACAUAACUUGUUAGAUAUUUUGUAUAUUCUUUAUUUUCUUAUUUGUAGGUGGAUAUACAAAUUUGUAAAGAUAUUAAUUAAUUAUUGAUAACAACUGUAUUUAUAUAUGUAUGGUUAUUGAGGAUAAUUAAGUAAACUUUGAAAAUAAUCAUUGGCAAGAUCAAUUUUGCUCUUGGCAAAAUCUGGAACCUUAAUAUUAGACAAACUACUAAACAAAAGAUUUUUGAAAAUUUGAAGAAGAGAAUGCAUGUAAUAUAUAUUAGAAUUUACAGUUUUAGUUUGCUAUAAUUUGAGUAAGAGUGAAAGCUUGGGUGAGAGAGAGAGAGGGAAAAAAAGUGUGUUUUUUUUUUUUGUGAUGAGAUCUGACGCAAAAUUUUUAAUUACGUGGACAAACCACCUCAGUUGACACGUUUGUUUGUAGAAGAAGUUCGUGGGGUUUCUUAGUGAGAGCAUUCCCAAUGGUAAAAGGCUUUUAGGGGUGCCACAUAAGAGAGAGGGAGAAGGUUUUUAGGAUAGACUUGAUAUUAAAAGUAAUUUAUGGUUUUAGAGUUGCCAAUGGUUGAGUGUUAAAAGCUUAAAAUUUCACUUUCCCAAAGACAUGAUGGCUGUGCUUGUUUCCCCGGAAGUUAUGGGGAAACGAAAACGGAAAGAUUUUAAAUUUUAAGAAAGGUAACAAAUUUUCAAAACUUUCCAUUUAUAACCAGGAUUGUUGCUUGAUUACCAGAUCAAUAAAAAAGGAAAAAAAAGACGUGGCGAGAUUAUAAGCUUUGGGGACCGGUGGGGACCAUAAAUUAGAGACGUGAUUUUCUGUUUUGCAUAGAUUUCCUGGUUUAUCAAAACUGCAAUUUUUGCUGACGUGUUUUACAUUUUAAAAACCUUUUUACAGUGGGACCCAUAUCAACUGAAAUCACCAAGCACCUGGAAAAACAAAAAAUCAGCAAAUCGCUGACGUGGUUUUCCAUUCCAGUUUUUUUCCUAGAGAACAAGCACGGCCGAUGUAUAAAAUUUAACUUUGAAUUAACUAACUAAUCCUAUGUGGCACUUUUAACUCUCGGCAAAUUUGCCAAGGAGUUAAAAGUAUUUUGUUUGAAAAAUGUGUUAAUAUCAACCAUUGGCAAAAGUUUUUUACUAAAAGUUCUUAAAAGGAAUUUAAAACCUACCGUUGGGAAUGCUCUGAGUGUAGAAUUACUCAAUAUUGAGCGAGUAUGCAAGGAUAACACGUGUUGUUUUUGAAAGUCACAGUGGAUUGUUUGAUGCUUAGAUAUCUCUUUUUCGACACCUUAAAUACUCAAGUUGAUUAUUAGAUAUCUCAUUGUUUUGGAAUUCAUCAGUGGUCCUACCUCAAGACGUUCCUUGUUGUAAUAUUGUACUUGAAAAUGAAGCCACGAAGGGAUAUACGUUGUAUAUCUAUUUUCUAUAGUGACUUUGAGACAAAAUUUCCUAAACUUUUUGAAAACUAUCUUUAAUUUUAAAUGUCAGAUUAGAUGAAUGAAAAUGUGCAUAAUUGACCAACGACAUCUUUUUGGUUAUGAAUCUGAGUUUUAUUCCAUAUCAAAUUAAUGACAGGCCCAUAUACACGUCGAACAGAUUCGCAUACACUAAUUUACAUUGAUAAGGUGUCUUUUUUAUUAAAAAAUUAUUUUCUAUUCCAUCUCUUUGUAAUACAUUGAUCUUAUUGUUUAUUGUUUGGUAAUUUGUUUUUUCAGUAUUUUGAGUAUAGAGGAGUUACCUUAAUCUACUACCUUUGGAGUAGCUCGGCCCCGCUGAGGGGUUGGGCCACGUCUGCACCCUGCUAGUUCAGAUGCAAGCCUUUAUUUCAAAGGUUGUCUUUGCAUUCUUCUUUUUUGAACUGGCAGGAGUGCAGGUGUUGAAACCCGGGUUUGACUGAAUUGGAAAAUUAUCCUUCUGAAUCUUCCUGCUCCAUUUUGUCAAUCCCGGUUGAGUGGAUGUGUCUUUCAUCCACAUGGUUCUUGCAUUUGAAUUGCUUGGCCAAGCUCUUUGACAGAGCCUGAUGAUAACGAAAAAAAUGAAAAGACUUGCCUUGACUUGGAAGUAUUGCCGUGGUUGUAAUUAAGGUAUGUGCCAAAGUUUUCAUAGCCUCUUUUUGCAUUACCUUCUUUUGUUAUCAGUUUUGGUUUUAAUCGCAAGCAUGUUGAUGGAUUUGAUGCUAUUCAUUUUCAGUGACUAGGUACUGCUUAGUCUCUCUGACGCUGCACAUGGACAUUAUACAACUAAUGGAGAUUCGUGCACUUUGAGCUUUGGUGCCUUGGUGGAAUACGUGUUACUACCAGAUCUUUGAGCUUUAAGAUGAAUACUUGAUUGCUAUUGGAAUUUUUGACCUAAAUACAUAUUCCAUGGAAAUUUAUGUGCUGCCUCACCUUUAUAUAUAACUUCCUAGACUCCUAGCAUAAAGAUUUGGAACCUGAAUAGAACAUUGUGUAUUUAUUUGUAUGAUCCCAUCAAUGGCAGCUACUUCAAAAUUGCAGUAUGACUUAGUUCCGUGUUUUUUUUUUCACAAUGUUUUGUUUGCCAAAUUGUUGUCGCAAAUGACAGAACUACUUAAAAGUCGUUGCAAGGUGUCAUUUUGAUUUGAUUAUUUAUUGUUUUUUACAUGGAAAUGGUAGUGGGUUCUUCUGCAGAGUUUGUUGUAGAUGGCUAUAGUAUAAAAUGUGCAGUGGAAGUAUCUGUUGUGCGUAGUGGAAACUUAAACACAACUAAUGAUGAUUGAACUAGUGUAUGAAAUAAAAUAAAACGAUAAAAUCAAACGAACAACCACACAGGACACAAGAUUUACAUGGUUCGGCAAUAUGUCUAUAUCCAUGGGGAGAAAGGAUAAUGUUUUUCUUAUAAAGAUAAGAGCUAAUUAGUGAUACCCCCCGGAAUUCAAGGCAAAAAAAGGAACCCCCCCCCCCCCCCCCCCCCCCCAACUCCAAAAAGAUUUGUGUUACCCCCCCCAAAUUAUUUUCUGGUGAAAAAUAGACUUGAACUGCCAUAAAUACCCUUAUGCCACAUCAGACUUUUAAUUUGACCUAAACCAUUGCUGACGUGGCAUAGAUAAGAUAUUAUGGGCUGGGUUUAGAUAUGGUAUAGAUAAGAUAUUAUGGGCUGGGUUUACGCACAGACCCCUGUGCGUGCAUAUUCACAUAGUACAGAUUAAGUGGACAAGGGCCAAGUGAAGCAAUGGGUUAGCUAAAAGGUGAACAAAAAUGAAGAAAGUAUGCACUAGUCGGGGAUUUCGGGCAACUCUUUUUGUUAUUAGUAUUCCAGGUAUACAGAGAACCUGAAAUUAUGGUAGGUGAGUGUGUCAGUGGUGCAUGACUCUGCUAUGUCAAAAUAGAAACCCAUAGGCACGACUGAUAAGUUCCUAAAAACAAAUACUAAAACAACCCAUAAGUAAUAAUAAGUAAAAAACACACGAUAUUUUUAAAGUAGUAAAAUCCAAUAUGGGAAACGUUCAUGGUUGUUCUCGCGAUAAAAAAUAAUUCUACUAGAUGAAAAAGAUAUACAAACUAGGGAUGAGCACGGUUUGGUCGGUUUUGACCAAAACCGAAGCCAAACAGCCUAACAGGUGUUUUGGAAUAAACACAAUCGAAAUCAAACGUGUUGUUUCCCAAAAUCGAACCGAACCGAUCAAAAUAUGUAAAAACCGAAACCGAACCGAACACGUAGUUCAGUUCGGUUAACCGAAUCAAAACCGAACACCUUUUAAGUUGGGCUGAAUUAACUUGGGCUUAAGUAUAAAGACUAACAUGGGCUGAAUUAACUUGGGCUAAAGUGCUAAACUAAAGACUAAUAUGUUUGGUUCGGUUUUAGGUGUUGAAAAUUUUCUAAAACCGCAACCAAACACCCUAACAGGUGUUUUGUAAAAUUUCAAACACCAGCCAAACACUUAAACACCUAAACACCUUCAAAAGUGUUCAGUUCGGUUGUGUUCGGUUCGGUUCUUCGGUUUUGGUCUGGUUUUGUUUAGCCUUAGUACAAACCUAUCAACUACCUGCAAUCACUGUGAAUUGACACUACUUGUUAUCUCUAACACCUUGACUUCACUAGAGUACCUUGAUGUAAGCACAAGACACUCGACUUCUUGAUGAACACACAAGAAGACUCGAAGCCGAACUAUGAAUAAGUUUACACCAGAGUUCCUUGAUGAACACACAAGGAUACUCGACUUCUUGAUGAACACAGAAGAAGACUCGAAGAUAAAUCACUAUAAAAAAAUAAAGAAAGAUGAAUUGGGGAAGGAUAAAAAAUAGAAUUACACAAGGAUCGAUUGAGGAAGAAGAUGAUCUUUGUGGAAGAGCCGACAAACAAAUUAGGGUUCUAUGGAGGCUAGGUUGGAACUCUUACUUUUCCCAUAACACCAAUGCCAUAUUUAUAAUCUAGGGUAUGUACGUACCUCCUAACAUGGUACGUACAUUCCUGAACAAACUGCAACCUAACAUAGCUUAGAAGGAUGAGAAUGAAGACAUAGGGACGACGCUUACACAUCAAGGUACUUCCUAAUAAUGUCGUCAAGGUGAGAUAAUUCCAGAUACUCCUAACCUAAUCACAAAAUGAUGUCAAACAACCGAAUGUCGGUUUCAUGAACUUGAACUCAGACUUCUACUAGUAUGUCCUAGCCUCCUAGUGAUACCUCAAUGACUGAAUACAUGUAAAAAAUAACUUUGCACUCAAGUUUUGAAGAAAGAAAGUACAUAAAGAUUGAUAUUGUAAGUACCAAACCAUGCUAGGUGGAGUAUUGAGGACACAGGAGCUAGAUAAGGAGAGCAAACUGGGAAGUACCCAAUCGGAGUUCAGAACAUUCUAGAGUAUCACGGAUAAAGCACGUGAUGUCUGGCUGUAAAGCAUUCACUGUAUAGUAUGUGAUGGAGAAUGAAACACGUAGGAGAUAAUAGAACCAUAGGAUGCAAAGGAGGAUCCAACGGUUCAAGGAAGGCGGUGAAUAUUGCUAUAAAAGGAUCACGUUAGGGUUCGCUAAAAGGUAACUGUUCAUUCUUUGCUAAAAACCUAUUCUCUAAACCUAGCCGCUUACUGACUUGAUCGUUGGAGCUUUAUCCACCGGUCAUUGUCCGGUGGUCAUUGCAGGUACUACCGUUGAAGCAGUUGAAGGACCCAGCUGAGCUCAUCAAGGAAAGUGGGCUUACAUUUGGCGCUAGAAGAAGGGCCACUUUGCUGCUUCCAGAUCUAGGGUUUUGGAGAAGAAGGUUGAAAGAAGAAAGUAGAGAGCAAUGGUAACACAAACUAGAUCGUCGACAUAUCUCGGAGGUGUAGCAGCUGGAGAUGUUCCGCAAGUUGUUCAUCCUCAAAAUCUCCAAGAUGGAGACGAAGAUACAAACAGAUUGAGAGAAGAGAACUUGAGACUGAGGGAGCAGAUAAGAAGGAUGGAAGAUAUGGAUCGUCAAAAUCUUCAGGAAGGAGAGAACGAAGCAGUCAGAAAUGAAAACCAUCAGAGACCAUUGGAGAGGGUAAUACUAGGAGAAGGUGAAGGAGGAACAAGGCGUCGGAUUCCGGGCCUAAGAGUGAAUGAAGAAGAAGGGUCAGGAGAAUCAGGGGUAAGAGCUCGCGAAGGGAGUCGAAGGGAAGGGAUGAAUGAUGAAGAGAUCCCGGCGGCAGAUCAAUACACCAGACUUUUCGAUAUGAUAUGCAAGGUCCAAGAGGACAUGAGGGCGCAGAACAAGGGAAAGAACAUGGAGGUGACUCAGGAUCUGGAGAGAUUGGGCAAGAGGCCAUUAGCCGAAGUGUGCUACCGUCACGGGUUCCCAAGUAAGUUUCAACCUCCUAAGUUUAAUGAGUAUGAUGGAACAACUGAUCCUGUGCAGCACUUGAAUAAUUUCAAGCAAAAAAUGGCGGCUUGGGAAGGGAGCCAGUAUGACGGAAUGUGGUGUCGACUGUUCCCUAGCAGCUUGAAGGAUAACGCUACAGACUGGUAUCUCAGCUUAUCACCAGGGAGUGUAUCAAGCUUUGCUCAGCUCAGUGAGAUGUUUGUCAAGCAUUAUAUUCAUCAGAAAAGACAGGCUGCAGAUAUAGCGUCACUAUUUGAUUUGGAACAAGCUCCAGGUGAGUCUCUUAGAAAGUUUGUUACUAACUUUAAAAAUGAGAUUUUGAGAACAGAUGGCGGAGUAGAUGAAAGAACAGCUGUGGUAGCAUUUCAGAAGGGUAUAAAUAAGAAGUCUCCUGCAUAUGACUCGAUUGUGUCAUCACGGAUGGCGACUCUGGAUGAACUUUUCCAGAAGACGGAGAAAUACAUCAGACUAGAGGACAUAGCAUCACGGAGAGCUCCAAAAGUGGUACCGGCAUCCGUUAACUCGGUGGCGGAAAAAAGUAAAAAAGGGAGAAGCUAGCUCACGAAGUGAUUCGCCACCAAGAGAUUCCGGCUCUAGGAGGAACAAAGAUGGAUCGAGAGGUCACGACAAAAGAGAAAGGAGGGAGGAUAGAGAUACUUCACCAAGAAAGUUGAUACCACCGAAACCGCUACCGCAACUCACAAUGUCACUAGAUCAAAUUUUGAAGAGAAUAAGAGGAAGAAAGUACUUCCAGGAGCCGUCGGUAAGAUGUAGAACAGUCAGGGGAAAGCCAUUCUGUGAGUAUCAUCAGACUUACAACCACCCUACUGGAGAUUGUUAUGAGUUCAAAUCCUUGAUAUGGAAAUGGAUGGAGGAGGGCCAUUUGAGAGAGUUUAUAGUGGAAAAGAACAAGGAGGAAGACAAAACAGAAAUUCAAGUCAGAGGGACCGUUAACAUGAUCUUAGAAGGAGCUAGAGAAUCCUUGAACGAGGUCAGGAGGAAGAUAAGAAGAGUGAUGCAGAUAAGAGAAGACUUACAAACAGUCGGAGCCGUUCCAGUCAUGCGAAAUGGCAGACCAGUGCAUCAGAGUGAGUCGAUUGGGUUUUCAGAGGAAGACCUCAAAGGAGUAGUCACACCACACAAUGACCCAUUGGUCAUUUCCAUACUCAUUGGAAAUUGGAAUGUCACGAAAGUGUUAGUAGAUUGUGGAAGUGAGGUAGAUGUUCUGUUCACCAGGGGCUUGGAUCAAAUGAAACUGGAGAGAGGUAGCUUGGCAAAUUCACCUGGAGACAUUUACGGAUUCAAUGGGGGAGCAGUGCGGCCAGUUGGAGAGAUAGUCUUACCGGUUACAGCACACACCAGAACCGUCAUGUCGAGAUUUGUGGUCAUAGAUGCUCCAACAGAGUACAAUGCAAUCUUGGGAAGAGAAUGGAUUCAUCUUAUGAAGGCAAUUCCGUCAAGUUACUAUCAGAAGAUCCGUUUUCCGACUGAAGAUGGACAAUAUGAGAUAAGGAGCAAUCAGGCUAUGGCCAAGAAUUUGAAGAUAGCAACAGUAAAAAGUAUGAGGCAUGGCACAGCAGGUGCUGGGCCGUCAUCUAUCCCUGCAUAGCAACGACAGAAGGAGGGUGACGGGUUCCCGCGUGAAGUGCUAAAGACAGAAGAACAAACGGAACCCGUCAACCUCAAUGAGGUAGGGGAUCAGCGGAUCACCUACAUGGGAACCAACUUGGAUGAGAAGGUGAGGUUUGAUCUUUUACAAUUCUUAAAAGAUAAUAUGGAUGUAUUUGCUUGGUCUAUGAAUGAUAUGACAGGGAUCGAUCCAGACGUAGCAUGUCACAGAUUGAAUGUCAAUCCAAGUUUCAAACCAGUCGCGCAGAAAGUGAGAACAAUAAAACCUACACUGGCAGAGGCAAUAAAACAAGAGAUCGAGAAGAUGGAGUCAGCUGGAAUAACAAGAGAAGUUCAGUAUCCAGAGUGGGUAUCUAACAUAGUGGCGGUUCCGAAGAAAAACGGAAAGGUUCGGAUCUGUAUAGACUUCACAAACUUAAACAAAGCAUGUCCAAAAGAUAGAUACGUCAUGCCAAGGGUGGAUGAGCUAGUGGACAGAACAGCAGGCUUUGGGUUACUGUCAUUCAUGGAUGGCUAUUCCGGCUACAAUCAGAUUCCUCUAUAUGGUCCAGAUCAGGAGAAAACGGCCUUCUAUGCUGGUAAGAAAACUUUAUGUUAUACCAAAAUGCCAUUUGGUUUGAAGAAUGCAGGAGCUACUUAUCAGAGGCUGGUAGAGAUGAUGUUCGAAGAUCAGCUGAGGAAGACGGUAGAAGUAUACAUUGAUGAUAUGUUAGUCAAGUCCAAAGAGCCGGAGGAUCAUCUAAAGGACCUGGGAGAAACCUUCCAGACACUGCGUCAGUUCAAUAUGAAGCUUAAUCCAGAAAAAUGCACUUUUGGAGUACAGUCAGGAAAGUUCCUUGGUUACAUUGUUACCAAGAGAGGAAUAGAGGUUAGUCAAGAGCAGAUCAGGGCACUCACGGACAUGGCGUCACCAAGAACACAGAAAGAAGUGCAAGUACUGGCUGGCCGAAUUACGGCAUUGGGAAGAUUCAUAUCAAGAUCCACAGAUAAAUGCAAGCCAAUUUUGAAGCUCUUGAGAAAGAAUUUAUCUUUUGCUUGGAAUGAUGAAUGUGAAGAAGCCUUCCAGAAGUUGAAAGAAUACUUGAGUAGACCACCAGUUCUGUCAAAGCCAUUUCCGGGGGAGACACUCUAUGUUUAUCUAGCAGUGUCGGACAUUGCAGUAAGUGCGGUCUUGACCAGAAGGGAGGCCUCAAAGGAGAGCCCAGUCUAUUUCCUCAGCAAGAAGAUGACUUCACCAGAGACAAGGUAUUCUAGAGUGAAAAAGUAUGCCCUCGCUUUACUAUUUGCAGCUCAAAGAUUAAGACCUUAUUUCGAAGCUUAUAGUCUGACAGUGGUUUCAAACCUCCCUCUCAAUCAAGUGAUGCCAAAAAUCGAGCGUUCUGGAAGAAUGGAAAAAUGGGCAGUUUCAUUGAGUAAAUAUCACAUUCAGUAUGAGCCCAAGAAGGCGGAAAAAUCACAAGUGCUGGCGGAUUUCUUGGCAGAUUUCCCAGUGGAGGAUGUAAUCAAGGGUGCAGAAAUGCAAGAGGAAGAGCAGCUAGAGUAUCUAGAAGUUCAAGAUACCGGGUGGAAAAGCGUCAAAGGAUGGAAGGUGUUCACCGAUGGGUCAGUAAAUAAAGGAAGAUCAGCAAUCGGGAUAGUAGUGGUAACACCAGAGGACACUAAGAUCGAGAUCGCAGAAAAAUUAGCCUUUCCGGCUACCAAUAAUGAGACAGAAUACGAGGCGGUGCUGAAAGGUUUGGAAGUAUUGCUGAAGUUAGAGGUAAAGGAGGUUACGGUUUUCACAGACUCGAAAUUGGUGGUGGAACAGUUCAAUGGAACAUAUAAAGCUCAGACUGGGAAGAUGAUGUUGUACUUGGAGGCAUUGAAGAGGAGUGUAGCAAAGUUCUCGAAAGUUGAUAUUGUACAUCUGUUUAGGGGAGAGAACCGGCAUGCUGAUGCAUUGGCUUACCUGGCAACGGCAACAGAAGAGAAUUCAACCAAGACUAUAACGUUCAUGCAAAGAUCUCAGCCAAUGAUAGAGGUGAAGGAAGUGACUGUCAACCUCAUUCAAAACUUGGGAGCAAGUUGGAUGGACCCAAUAAUAACCCACUUAAAAGGUGGUUCUCUUCCGAAAGACAAAGCAGAAGCUAGAUCGAUUGUGGAGCAAUCCAAAAGGUAUGCAAUGAUAGGGGAAGACCUGUAUAGGCGAUCACCAACUGGACCGUUAUUGAAGUGUGUACACCCAUCCCAAACAGAAGGAGUCAUGGCGGAAUGUCACAAUGGAAGUUGCGGCAGUCACUCACCGGGACGGGCCAUGGCACACAGGAUAAUGAUUCACGGGCAUUACUGGCCAAGUAUGUAUAAAGAUUGUUGCAACUAUGCUAAGAAAUGUCAUGGUUGUCAGAUUCAUGGGAGACUCAUACAUACCCCAGCUGAAAACCUUCACUUUAUAAGCAAUCCGUGGCCCUUUUCGAUGUGGGGAAUUGAUAUUGUGGGAAAACUGGAGAAGUCACAGGGAAGAGAAUAUUUAAUUGUGGCCACAGAUUACUUUACGAAGUGGAUUGAGGCAGAACCUUUACGAAGGAUCAGGGAGGUAGAUGUCAAAGAUUUUAUCUGGACCAACAUCAUCUGCAGGUUUGGCUUACCAAGGGCUAUAGUAGCAGAUAACGGUGCUCAAUUCCGUGGAGAGGAGUUGAAAAAGUUUCUGGCAAGUUAUAACAUAAAGCAACUCUUCGCAACACCAUUUCACCCACAAGGAAAUGGGCAGGCGGAAGCAUCAAACAAGGCCAUACUGGAGGUACUGAAAAAGAAGCUUGAGGAUAAAAAAGAAAAAUGGUAUGAGAAUCUUUGGGAAGUACUAUGGGCAUACCGGACGACUCCAAGAAGGUCCACAGGGGCAACUCCAUUCUCCCUCACUUAUGGGAUGGAAGCUGUGAUACCACAAGAAAUGUUGGUACAUACGGCUAGAAGAAUGGUGGUCGAUCUAGGGAAGAAUAAUGAGAUAAUAGAGAGAGAGCUGGUCUUAGCUGAGGAGGUCCGGGAGCGCGCCAAGCUCAGAUUGGAGGGCUAUCACCGCCAACUAGAGAGGACAUACAACAAAAGAGUCAAGCCAAGAAGCCUAGUUCCAGGGGAUCUCGUGUUAAGAAAACAGAAUCCGCCUCCAGCCAAACUAGAGCCAAACUGGGAAGGGCCUUUUGUGAUAGACAAGGCGGGAGCGAAUGGAGCAUACUACUUAACCUACCAAGACGGUACCCCUCUUGAUAAGCCAUGGAGUAUCAGCAAUCUAAAGAAAUACUAUGCCUAGAGGGCAAAGAUGUAUUAGAGCAACAACAGUAGACAGUAUGUACCUAGAUUUGUUUGAAUUUCAAUGAAAAUAUAAGAUUUUGUUGUUAUUGACUUAUCUAGUUAUAUAUAUAUAGCACUAUUGUCUGAGACCAGGCCAAAGGUCAGACAUAGAAGAAACCCAACUAAGGUUGGUGGGAAAUAACAUAAGUGUAGACUUGGCAGGGCAAGCCGUUAACUAAAUGUUAAAGUCUCUAUAUGAUUAUUUCUUCCCCAUUGAGUUUGAUUUAGACAAUACAGUGGGGUGCCUCUAAAAGAGAAGAGCAAUAGUGCUAGUGUGUUAACGGGGUUGCACUUGCUGAACCGUGACGACGGGAUCAGUAGAAGUAUAGCCUAAUGUUAGCACAUGAGAAACCAAUGCCAGAAGAUAACAAUAAUUGAUAGCAAUUAUAAAAGUUUGCAAUGUUGGAAGACUUUCGUCAAAAUUAAAAAUUAAUCAAAUUACAACUCAAGGCAAGGAGUCUCGGGUGGAAGCGCUAGGAGGCGUUAUCCGCAUUUUCUUGGCAGAAAGAAUAGCGGUUAAGUUUUCCUUCACUUGAGCCUUCACUUGCAUGGCAAGUUGCUCUUUGAAUUUCGCCUCCAUCUCCUCGUAUUUUGAAUUGUAAUCAGCCAGGAGAGUUUCUCUUUGCUCCCGUAGGUCGGCCAGAUACUGCUGAUAGUCAACAUCAUGAGCGGCUUCGAGUUCAUUUAUUUUCACUAAGCUGUCAGCCCAUUUCCCCUCCAACCUUGCUACCACGGUGGCAUGAGCAGCAUCAAGGGCAGCAAUACGCUCACGGUGCUCACCCUCAAGUGCAGCAAUGUGAUUACGGUGCUCACCCUCAAGUGCAGCAACGCGCUCACGGUGUUCACCCUCAAGCCUUUUCCGGUUCUUCUCGAUUUCAGCAUCACGAGACGCGGUUGUUUCUUUCAGUUGAAUCUUAAGUUGCUCGAUCUCGGCUUGAAGAGCCCAUUUCUCGCGAACUAGUCGAUUCUUAUCCACUGUAAUGUCGUGCUUCUCUUUUACAAGAUUUUCUUUUUCCAGCCUAGAAGCAUUUGAAAAAGACUUGACGACGAGACCGUUAACCUACAAUUCAAUAGAAAAGUUAUAGUCCAAAAAAAAAAAAAAAAAAAAAAAAAAAAAGAGAAGAGGGGAGACUUACGAGAGCUAGACCACGGAAAACUGUAUCUCGGUCCUCACCAAAGUUCAUCUGAUCAAUUUUAGCUUGAUCAGAAGGAAAAAUAGAAUUGUAGAUAGCGGCGAAAGCAGUUGCCCCAUUGUCAAAAGCCGAAGCUGAGGGAUCACGGGGAAGGGGAACGGCUGGAGUCUGGCUUGGAGACUGGGGGGAGGGAGAAUCAGCAAGUACUUUACCGCGAGAAGAGGAGCCAACCUUGUUAGGGUCAAAGGCUGGUACAGACUCUGAAGACGAAAAAGGACCUUGGGAAGUAACACCGGCAGGAGGUGUAGAAGUCUUGUCAGCAGUUGGUGCCGGAUUAAUCUCAGCAUCAAGGGUGGGAGAGAAUUGCUGGCCAUCUGCGGCUUGGUCACCUGAUCCAGAUGAAGAAUAAUUAAGAGUACGAUGGCGGGUAUACCUAGGUGCUUCACGAAUAGGUGCAACAAGUGUAGCAACAUCAAAAAUUUCGUGAUCAACAGGAAGUGGUGGAGGCAUCGCACCAAUAAUAGGGGGCUCAUUUGGAUCAAGGAGAGCCAUGGAAAAUUCCUUAAGGGGAGAAGAUGAAGGAUGAGAAGUUGAACCUGGUUGGGCGAGAUUGUCCAUGCCGGUGUCUUCAAAUAGGAGACCACCAUCAAACCCAAGUUCAUCAAGAUUAAAGGAAACCUUGAUUCCACUAAAGUUUGGUUGUCUGGGUUCUUCCAGAGAGUCGCUGGAGGAAGAAGAAGGGGAUCCCGGUAGUUGAGAAGGAGCUUCUGCCAUUUUGGCCCUUUUCACUCUAGGAAUGGAAGGACCGUGUUGCUUUGAACGCGCCAGGUGAACUUCGGGAGAUUCCGGCAAUGUCUCUGGUUCACCUUGGACUGCCUGAAAAUCAGAACUUUCAGUUGAAGAAGAAGAAAGAUCACGACUACAAUUCCUGACAAUCUUUUGAACUCGAAGAGCAGAUAAGAAAGGGGGAAGUCGGGCAGUUACUCUUUUUUGCUUCUUCUUCUUGGAUGGCGCUGAAACUGCGGAAGGAGGUUCACGGGUUCUCUUUUUAGUUAGGAUCGUCUGAAGAGGGAUAUUAUCUCCACCGUCAUCAGAUUCUCUCUCCAACUCAGUAGCGGCAGCAGCAGAAGCUUUACCCUUCCUUUGUGUUGAUCGGGAAGUAGGAGGAAUAGCAGAAGACCUGCCCUUUUUAUCCCUGAGAUAAUCUUUGUGGCAGCAGACGGGUAAGACGUAUUCCCCUAGAUCAAGAUCCUUAACGAUCGGGGUACCGUCUUUCUUUGAGGAAGUAAGCUCACGAAUGGCGGAAUAAGCGUCAGCUCCAGAUCCUAUCAAAGGUUCCCAAGGGGCGUCUUUGCGGGGUCUUAAGGCUUUGCCGUCACCGCGAACCUCUGGGAUAGAAAACAGAUAAAAGAGUUAGACAGGCACUAUCAAAAGGAUUUUCAUCCUAGGAAUGUUAAUAUAUGAACAAAGUAGAAAAAGUGAGGAAAAAACCUCCUAGAUUAAACCGCCAGUAUUUUAAAGGGUUAGAAAUGCCAGGUCCUUUUCCCCCGAAGUUACCAAAGACAAUCAUAGGAAAGUCAGGCCAUUCCUUGUCACUUUCCGGCAAUUUUUCAAUAAUAGACCGCCUACCGGGGCGUUUGACGAAAUAGUAAUAAGGUUGACCACAUUUUUCUUCGCAAACCCGAAGAUAGUAACAUUGACGUAUAUCAGCAAGGGAAACGGUAGUUCCUUCAUUGUUUAGUUGGUCUAGGGCCCGCAAGAUACGCCAAAAGUUACCAAUACAUUGUCCAGGGGCGACUUGGUAAAAAUUAAGUACAUCACGGACUAAAUCAGAAAAAGGAAACGGGCAACCAAAAGCUAUUUGGUGGGCUGUCACCAUAAUAGCAUCUUGGCGGCUAAAUUCGUGAUGUGCAAAGCGUAGGGCAUGUUUGUAGUUGAAAAUUUUUACAUCUUCAGGAAUGUCGUAUAGUUCACAGAGUAGAUCUAAAUCAGGUCUAUAAGGGUAGGUACUGGGCACAUACGAAUCAAGGUAGUAACUGGAAGGGGAAGGGUGAACACCGCCAUCACCUUGACCUCCUUCAACUGUCUUCCUCGAAGAAUCUUUCUUUUUCUGAUUUUGAUAAGAAGCCAUUUAUGUAUAGAGAAAGGCUCACCAAAAUCGUAGAGAAAGAAAGAUUAGGGGCGUAUACAGGAUGACUCCAAGAGGAGGAAAGGAGAGAAGAAAAAUAAUUUGGAAAUUUACGGCAAUCGAAGUACAGAGUAUAUAGCGAGAAGAAGAAAAAUGAAAACCUAGAUCUAAUAAUGGCUAAAAUUAAAAUCAAGAAUAAGGAGAAGAGAAUAACCUGAAUUAGUCGACGGAGGAAGAAAUAAAGACGAGAAUCGAACUUUCAGGGGACCGGACGGUGCGUGAUUUCGUAGAGAAGAUGAAGACUGAAGAGAAAGAUAAACAGAGGAGGAGAAUGAAGAAGAUGAAAGGCAAAUGGAAGAAUUGGGUUAAAGGUUGUAAAUUUAUAUGAGGAUAAUCCCAGGGGUAUUACGGGAAGAAGUAAAAUAGUGACGAGACAGUAGCAUUGGGAAGCGAAAGGACAGCAGUUAAAAUCAUAAGUGCGUCUGGGUAAGAGCAAAAGAGGCACGCGUAGGAGGUUCGGGACUCGAGAGCAUGCGCAAUUAAUGAAUAGCUGGAGAGAUAGGGAUAAGGCAGAGCCUAAGGCACGUGAGGAGCAGGUGAUAGAUUAAGUAAUGAAAAGAACUUAUGACAGUUUUUCCGUCAUCAUAAGGAGUUUACAUUUAGGCGGAGAAAAAGCCUUUGAGCCGCCAUCUAAGAAAUAUAGAUGACGGUCAAAGGAGGGGCGAUGUAAGUACCAAACCAUGCUAGGUGGAGUAUUGAGGACACAGGAGCUAGAUAAGGAGAGCAAACUGGGAAGUACCCAAUCGGAGUUCAGAACAUUCUAGAGUAUCACGGAUAAAGCACGUGAUGUCUGGCUGUAAAGCAUUCACUGUAUAGUAUGUGAUGGAGAAUGAAACACGUAGGAGAUAAUAGAACCAUAGGAUGCAAAGGAGGAUCCAACGGUUCAAGGAAGGCGGUGAAUAUUGCUAUAAAAGGAUCACGUUAGGGUUCGCUAAAAGGUAACUGUUCAUUCUUUGCUAAAAACCUAUUCUCUAAACCUAGCCGCUUACUGACUUGAUCGUUGGAGCUUUAUCCACCGGUCAUUGUCCGGUGGUCAUUGCAGGUACUACCGUUGAAGCAGUUGAAGGACCCAGCUGAGCUCAUCAAGGAAAGUGGGCUUACAGAUAUAAUGAGAAAAGUGGAGAGGAUUUAGUUUUACUUACAAGUUACUCUGAAUGCUUCAAGAAAAUUCAAGUACACAAUUUGGCUUUCGAGCAAGCAGUUGUAAUUGUUUAAUCUCUCUUUCUGGCAGUUCUCCAGGAUAUAGCUUAGAGUUAAAAUAAACCCUUGUUGUUAGUUUGAUAGUCAGUUUAUCCAAUACUCUUGCACUUUUUAUCAAAAAUUUAACAAACCACAUCUUCUCCGCUGUCCAUCUAAAAUGCUGGAUCUCAACUAACUUCAAGUGUGACAAGAAACAUUUUGGAGUUGUUCCCAUUAUUUGAACUUAUCCUUUAAAUUGGAUCGAACUAAGUCCCUAUAUAGGAAACAUAAUUAGAAGCUUUAAAAUGAAACUGACAUGAAAAAGUUUCUUUUCAAAGCCGAAAAGAACACAAAGGAAAAUUAUGGACUUACAUCGGGAACGGAAAUAGAUUCGAUAUUAGGCAUGUUACAGAGUAAAUCUAUGAAUGUUCUACCAUUUGCCUCCGUUUUGUACCACACAGUCAGAUGGAUCAAGCGGGAAAGUGCAAGUAAAUGGAUUGAGUGGUUCGGACAGGCGAGGGCCUAGAUAUAUCAAAUAGUACUUCUGAUAAAAAAGGUAACCCCUGAACUUCAACGAUACAAAAGUACAAGACUCUGCAUAAAUCCUUAUCGCACAAGAAUUUAAAACAUCAGUCCCCCCAUCCCCUAUUUUUAGCAGAAAUGGUAACACUCUUGAUCUUUGACCAUACACAGUAAUCUAGGAAAAAUUCAUCUAGGAUAGACAACUUAAAGAAAUUUCCUGUAUUGAUUGAUCUCCAAAAAAUGCAAUCUAAGAUGCAGGACCUUAAGGCUUGAAAAACAAACCAAAGCGGGUAUCUUCAUCGAGACACUCAUUUCAAUUUCAAUAUCCUCAAUGAUUUAUAAGUAAAAUGCAAUCUGAAAACCGAAAGGGACAUUCCUUAAAAAAUUGAGAUAUUUAGUUCUUGAACUUUACGCCUCAUUGCCUCAUAGAGAUCCAUUCAUUGAAGUGAGUUGCAUCACACUCCUUACAUUUGAGGUUGCACCUAGCAUAUAUUUGAAAUAUCAUUGCAACGAAGCACUUUGUCUACAAACUCACUAAAGAUUCCCUUUGUUUUCCUAUAAUUUGGACUCUUGCUCGAGUCGUUAUACAAAUGUUCAUCACAAAAAUCAAGAUUGUGGAUGAACUUCCAAAAGGCCAUUCCAUCUUGUUGAUAAUACACUAGUACCCAGUGGCGGCCCUGAGGGCAUGCCCAAGAAGCUUUUGAUUGGGGCCAACCAAUUUUUAAAGAAAAAGUGCACUAAAUCUUUACUCAACAUGUAUAUAAUUAUUUAUAGACCACAAUAUUGUCAUAAUUAAUUUGGUAGAUUUACUGGUAGCAACACUAUACCCUACUAAAAAUGCCCUAAGACCAAUUCUUAAGUACUAUUUUUUUAAGAAUUUUUUUUUUCCACAAAAAUUAUUUUCUUAUGUGUUUAGAAGUAGGGGUGUUAAACGAGGCGAACGAGCCAAGCUUUGGUAUGUUCAAACUUGAGCCAAGCUUUUAACAAGCCGAGCCCAAGCUUUUCGGUUCGUUUAACGACCUUAUUUAAAAGAAAUGUAGCUACACAUGUGGGUCAUCUAUGUUUAAAUUUGAAUUGGCCACCUAAAACUCAGGGCCGGCCCUGCUAGUACCCAACAACAUAUUUAGUAGGAAGAAAGGAGAGGAUGUAAUGCAGAAUCCAGAAUGUGUUCAGGUAAAUUGUUAAUUCUAUCGAUCUCACCAUUGCACUGUUGUUUAGAUAGUUUUUGCUUUUUAGAAUUUUUUGCAGAAGCACUUGUUUCCAUGACUAAGGUUCCAACCAGAAGCUAUACUGGAAUAUCUAAGAACAGACGAACUUAUGAUUGAUGAACAAUAGUGUAUGCUUAAUGCAUAAAAGGAAAAGGCACAAACAUUGCAGAUAUCUCUCUGUUUUACUGAUCGAAUCAACUCACUCUCUUGACAGCACUAGUAGCACACGCGAAAAAGUCGGUCGAUCUCUUUUGGUCCUCUUUGGCUGUGUCCAAGUGAAACUCAAGAAUGAAGCAGAUAGGUUCCAGUCGAAGGCAUUCAGCGAUGGGAUUGAGAAGAUAUGGAAGAAGAUUCAGUGAUCCCAGCAGGGUCAAUCUCAUAGGGGAAGUCAACUAGUGCGGGAUAUAAGAAAAUAAUUAUAAAAUAAGAUGACACCUCAAAAAGGAAGAAUUACAUUAUUUUAGUAAGGAAAAUAGGCAUUACUUUCUAAAUAAAACAUUGCGUUGUAACUAUGAGAGAGUCUUUUCUCUCUCUCUUCUUUUAAGUUUUCUCUAUCUGAAUGUCGAAGACAUAUUACUUAUUUAUCAAGAAUGUUUCUAAAUUGAUAUGUACAAUUAUUAUAUAUUUGCCAAGAUGUUCUACAUUUCUAAGAUUUCCAUAUUACUGAAUAAAUAAUCAAAUGUUAGGUUGAACUCCAAGUUAAUUAAUUAAUUCCACAAUGUAGAACAAGAUAAUUAUAUUUUAAAUAAAUAAAUAAAUGUAGCAAACAAAAAUAAUCAAGCUGUUUUCCUUUUAAUAGCAACAAAACUGUAUCAACGAACCAUCUUUAGAGUUAGAGUAUCAAUGAACAAGGUAAUCUAAAAUUAUCAUUUCAUAUAUAAAUUGAAUUAUCAAUUAGGGUUAGAGUUCAUUAUUAGUGGCAAAAAAAGGUUAGAGUUCAUUAAACUUUAGAACAUUUCGUCAUGUGAUGUGAUAUAUUGGUUUCAAGAGUUAUCUACAAAUCCUCCAUUCGUUAAUAUUGUAGAUGAUAUACAGUAGAACCUCUUUAAAUUAAUACUCGAUUCGUUAAUCUCUCUAAGUUAAUGAAAUUCUCUAGUCCCGAUUUACAUCGUAAGUAGCUAAAUCAACACUCGGUAAGUUAAUAAAUUUUAAUAAAAUUGCAUAGGUCCGAUGCUAUUAAUUUAAAGAGGCUCUACUGUAUAAUUCAAUCUAUCUCACUUAUUGAGAAAAGUGAAAACAUUGGAGGUAUGAAGAAGUAAAGUGAAGAACUACAGUAAAAUUAAUAAUAAUGAAUAAUCUCAGCCCUUGUAGAAAUUAAAGCAACUUUAGGUUAGCUGUAGACAAGAUAGAUAUGGACGAAGUGAUUCUCAUUAUUCACUUCUUUGUUCUCUAUACAUAGCUUAGCCAAACAUAACAUGUACAUAGGAAAAAGAGGUGUAUUCACUUGUUAUUUCUCUAAGUACCACAUACAGUAUAUAUAUAGGCAUCACAAAGUCAAUCACUUGUGCUUAGCUAACAUAGGUGAGUGCCACCUAGCAUCCUUUUCUGACACAUCAAUUUGAUGACUAAUCAAGUAUCACUGAUGGUCUACCUAAUCACCUGGAUUAAGAGUGUGGGCUUGGAUUUGGACAUCCACUAUUUACAACACUCCCCCUUGGAUGUACAAUAUCCACCAUAUCAAGAUAUUGCCUCAUAAAACCUUGCUAGGAAAAUCCAGUGGGAAAAAACCAUGGCAAAGGAAAAAAAGUACAAUAAUUGAUUUCUUGAUUGGUGUUGGAUGCACUAUAUACUGCCUCGUUAAAACCUUGCUACGAAAACCCAGUGGAAAAAACCGUAGCUAAGGAAAAAUAGUACAGUGCGCUUAAUGUCCUGGUGGCUCCCCCUGAAGACAACUCCCCCUGAUGAAGAUUAGACUAAGCUCGACUUUCGGCGAAUCCCAAUGUCAUAUGCCAGUUUCUUAAAAGUUGAUGGAGGUAGUGACUUAGUGAACAAAUCAAAGAGAUUCUCAUCAGACCAUAUCUUCUGGACAUUGAUCUCAUUACUCUUCUAUAGUUCAUGAGAGAAAAAGAAUUUUGGAGAAAUAUGUUUUGUUCUAUCACUUCUGAUGUAGCCUUCCCUGAUUUGAUCAGUAGAUGCAGCAUUGGUUGUGGUUGAUGAUACAUCAUAUCUAAACAACAUGCGGGCUCCCCUCAGUUACAGAAACACUAACAGUGAUUUGUUUGGAAGAUCACCAAGAAAUUGUUGUACCACCAUAAGUAAAUACAUACCCGGUUUGCGAUCUUUCUUUGUAUGGGUCAGAUCUAUAUCCUGCAUCUGCAUACCCCUUUAGUUAGGAGCCAUUUGGUGGUUCUCUUGAAUAUUAUAAACCCAUAUCAGCCUCGAAAGUAACGCAUAAUCUCUUUUAAGCCAGUCCAAUGGCGUUGGGUUGGAGCUGACCUAAACCUGGCUAACAAAUUCACUGCAAAUGAAAUGUCAGGUCUAGUACAUUGGACUAAAUAUAAAAGAGCACCCUUAACACUCAAGUAUGGUACUUAAGGAGUAAGUAAAGAUUCGUUCUCCUCUUUAGGACGAAAUGGGUCUACCUUCACAUCAAGUGACCUUACGACCAUUGGAGUGCAAUUUGGCAACAUUUGUCCAUGUUAAAACGAUUUAAAACUUUUUUAGUAUACGUUGACUGAUGGACAAAUAUUCCAUGUGUUGUAUGUUCGAUCUGCAGGUCGAGACAAUACUUUGUUUUCUUGAGAUCUUUCAUCUCGAACUCAUUCUUUAAAUAGUUUGCAGCUUUGGCAAUCUCUUCAGGAGAUCCAAUUUUAUUUAUGUCAUCUCUUAAUCUUAAUAGAGUACAUAUGACAUGGUUUUGCUUCAGGCAGUUAGUUUGCAUCUUUAGCAAUCUCUUCAUGAGAUCUAAUUCUAUUUAUGUCAUCUCUUAAUCUUAAUACAUAUGACGUGGUUUUGUUUUAGGCAAUUUUUAUCCUUCAGGGACUUUCAUAUAAAUAUCAGUAUUUAACAUUUCAUAAAGAUACGCAGUAACCACGUUCAUGAGAUGCAUGUCGAGUCUUUUAAAGACCGCCAGACUAAUUAAGAAUCGAAACGUAAUGACAUCCAUCACAAGAAAAUAUGUCUCUUCAUAAUCAAUCCCGGGUUUUUGCGAGAAAUCUUGUGCCACGAGACGAGCUUUAUACCUCACAAUCUCAUUUUUCUCAUUGUGUUUCCUUAUAAAUGCCCAUUUGUAACCUACAAGGUUAACAUUCUUGGGGGUUAGGAAACACAUUUGUUUUGCAAGAGAAUCUAAUUUUGUUUGAAUUGCAUCCUUCCAUUUUGGCCAAUCAUGUCGUUGUCGACUAGGGCUGGCAAUGGUACGGGUUAGACCCGAAACCCGGUCCGAUCCGUACCGAUAAGAAUAGGUUUGGUAUUGCAUUUUUAUGUAUUGGUACGGGUCUGGUUCUUCAAAUUAGGACCCGAUUGUUAUCGGAUCGGGUUUGGAAUUAGUAGAUACCGAACCGAUAUGGACCCGAUAUAAAUUAUUUUGAGGUUUUGAAUAUUUUAGAUUCACUACCAUUAUUAACAUAUCAUAAAAAUCCUAAAUUCUAGAAAUUUGAUUAUUGUAAAUAAAUGUUUUAAUACUAAUUACCUUAUAAUUAUAUGCAAUUACAUUAAAAACAUAGAAAUAAAUAAAAUCAUAUACCAUAUUUGUAUACUUGAUUAUAUAUAUUUACUAAAUAUAUCUAUCUAGAUUCUUAAAAAGUAACUCAUUUUUUCUAAAUUUGUAUACAUGACAUAUCAAUUUAUGGUCAAAAUACCCGAAUCCAACUCGGAUCCGAUCCAAUAAGAUUUGGUAUGGGUAUGGUUCCUUACUUUCGGACCCGAUAGGGUCUGGUUCCGGGUCCAGGAUUAUUAGUUUUCUUAUUGGUUCGGGUAUGGUAUUUCUAAUAUCCGGUCUGAAUCGGUCCAUUGCCAGCCCUAUUAUCGACAUUCCUCAACAGUAUGUGUAUCAAGACCAUCAUCAUCUGCUGCAAUCUCAGCAGCUACGGCAAAGGAGAAUACGUCAUCGAUGACAAUUUUAUUUCUAUUCCACAACUCUCUUGUGUAUGCAUAAACUACAGAAAUUUCAUCAUUUUCAGGUACCUGAGCCAUAUCUGGGGCUUGUGUUAGUUCUGGGACAACCACUUUGGGGGCUUGUGUCAUUUCAGGGGUUUAUGUCACUUCAGGGACGACCACUUAGGAGCUUAUUUCGCUUCAGGGAUGGCCACUUCGGGGGAUUGUGUCACUCUAGGGACACAUUCCUCUUCAAGAGGUUUUUGUUUAGAGAGAGUGUGUUUUCCUUGCCUUAUAGCCUCUUUAGGAGCGCUAUUUACUGGAGGUUUUGUUUGACUUUUCCUCUUCCAGGGAUUUGAGUCCUUUGACCCAAUAGGUCGUCCACGCUUCUGGCGUACUUUAGACGAUUUCAUUUGCUGCCACAUUUGUGGGAUUUCCUUCAGGGACAUGUCAUCCUUCAGGGACAAAUCGUCCUUCUGGGACUUUAAUUCUCGCAGGCGCAUUAACAACUGCUAUAUUUUAUCUUAUCACUCUUGCAAGUCAAUUUAGGCGCUUCUUCAGGAAGCCACAAAUAUUUACACCGUUCUACAGUAACGGUACUUCUUCAGGAAGUGCUUCUUCAGGAAAUCGUAAAUAUUCACGCUGUUCUUCAGGAACAGAUGUAUUUUCUCCCCCUAACGGCGGGAAAACUGUCUCAUCAACGUGACAAUCUGCAAAUCUAGCGAUACGAACAUCAUAUGUCAAUGGUUCAAGAUAUCUAACAAUAGUUAGAGAAUCAAAACCAACCCAAAAAAUUCUAGACUACGAGACAUAUAACUUUACUAUCCGCAAGAUGAUUAUACAUGCUAUAUGCAUAUCCCUUCACAAUACAAGGAAAAUAUUUAAGUAUACUAUUAGAAACGAAUUUCAAAUAGUAAAACAAUGUAUAUGAGGAUUAUUUGACCAAAUAAAGUUAGAACUUCCGGUUCUUAAUUAAUGGAUUAAAACUUCAAGUCUAAUCAAAGAUGUGAGACUUCAGGCUUGAUCACUAACAAAUAAAAACUUUAGAUUCUUGGUCAAAAUCAAAUAUUUGAAACUUCCGGCUCACUGAGGAUUUUCUCGUUUUAUAAAGACUUCAGGCGUCAACAUCAUUUAUAAAAUAUGAUCAUUAGACUUCGAGUCUUGAUCUAAUCAUACAUAACUUCAAGUUCUUGGAGCUUUAAGCCCAAAUAAAAAUUAAAUUUGAUGUUGAGCUUCUGGUUCAUUAUGGAACACAUCAAUAUCACUAUGAAAUAAAUGGUUAGAACCAAUAAUUUCAAUUUAAAAAAUCAAAUACUUACUCAAUACUUACACCGGUAGUAGUGUAGUAGUUUAAUAUUGUAGUUCUUGUCUAUGUACUUCUUGAACAAUAGAGCAAUCUCGUGCUGAUAACGUCGUAAAAAUUAAAGCAACUUCAGGUUAGCUAGUUGUAGACAAGAUAGAUAUGGACGGAGUGAUUCUCAUUAUUCACUUCUUUGUUCUCUGUACAUAGCUUAGCCAAACAUAACAUGUACAUAGGAAAGAGAGGUGUAUUCACUUGUUAUUUCUCUAAGUACCACAUGCAGUAUAUAUAUCUAUAUAAUAUUACAAGGCGGUCUCAUAAACACAGCCGUUAGAUGCCUAUUAGGACAACCACAACCAUUGGAUGUAGAAUAAUUUAUAUAAUCGAUGUAAUAAGUUGUAAUAAUAGCCUUAGAUGUCCAAAAUUCGAUCUUAACCAUUAGUUGUCUAUUGAGACAAUCGUAGCCAUAUGAUUAAGAGUUUUAAUUGCUAUCACAUUAAAUUUCAGAAAUAUAACCUAUAGAUUAAUUAAUAAUACUAAAUAACCAAUAAUUAUGAGACAUGGGCAAUUAAAAUUAUUGUAAAUUAAUUAAUAAUACUAAAUAACCAAUAUUUAUGAGACAUGGACAAUUAAAAUCAUUGUAAAUUUAUUUUUAAAAUAAUAAUAAAAAUAUUGAAACCAAUGAAUCUUUGGUGUAUAAGGAUUUAGAUGUUCAAAAUUCGAUCUUAACCGUUAGUUGUCUAUUGAGAGAAUCAUAGCCAUAGGAUUAAGAGUCUUAAUUGCUAACACAUUAUCUUGUGGAUUAAUUAAGGCUCCAGAUUUUGCCAAAGAAAAAAAUGUUUUUGCCAAUGAUUAAUUCUUGGUAUUACAUAAUUGCCCUCAAUUAGUUUAAUUUAAAAUUUAACUAUUUAGUAUUCACAAAAUCUUGGAGAAAUCUAUUAAUGCUUUGCCCAUAUAAGGAUCAUACAGAAAUUUUGUAAUUAAAUUUUUUUAUUUUAAAUCCCCAAUUUUGAAUUUAUAUUUAUUUAAAAUACUUAAAAAAUAGUUUUUUAUGUAAAAGUUUAAUAAAUAGAAAAUGAAAAAGAUUCACUUUCAUUAUUGAUUGGUUUAAUCAAAAUUUUGAUAUGUAAUUAGAAAAGAAGAAUCAAACAAUUUUAGUGAAUCAAGAGAUUUGAUUUAACAGAUAUUUUGAUUUUUAAGAAUCUAAAUUCUAAAAAAAUGAAAAGUGGUUUUUGAACAACAAUUGUCAUAUUUAUGGUAAAACAAUUGAGGGUAAUUGUGUCAUAUCAAAAAGUUAUCAUUGGCAAGAUUAAUUUAAUUGAACCAUUAAAUUGCAAAUGUUUACUUACAUAUUAGCAAGAUUAAUUUAAUUAAAAUUUUGUAAUUAAAUUUUUUAUUUUAAAUCUCUAAUUUUGGAUUUAUAUUUAUUCAAAAUACUUAAAAAAUAGUUUUUGAUGUAAAAGUUUAAUAAAUAGAAAAUGAAAAAAGAUUCACUUUCAUUAUUGAUUGGUUUAAUCAAAAUUUUGAUAUGUAAUUGGGAAGAGAAGAAUCAAACAAUUUUAGUGAAUCAAGAGAUUUGAUUUAACAGAUAUUUUGAUUUUUAAGAAUUUAAAUUCUAAAAUAUGAAAAAUAGUUUUUGAACAACAAUUGUCAUAUUUAUGGUAAAACAAUUGAGGGCAAUUGUGUCAUAUUAAAAAGAUAUUAUUGGUAAAAUUAAUUUAAUUGAACUCACUAAAUUGAAAAUGCUUACUUACAAUGACAACUAAAUACUCGAAAACUAUUGUUGUAGGUUAUUUAAACUUUCUUACAAUAAUGGUGUUGACUAAACAAGAUAAAAUCCAACAAUAUCUAGAUGCAGGGUAUAAUGGACCACUGGAAGCAGCUAUGCGCUUAUUGGAAAUAUACUACCUAUAGAGAGACCGAAAGUGCAACGAUUACACCUCCAUCUUAUUGGAAUGCACCGUCUUCUUUUUAAUCCUAAUGAAUCAAAGAAAGCUAUUUUUAAAAGGGCUCAAAAUAAGAAAUCUACUCUAACUGCCUUUUGUUUAUUGUUGUGAUGCAGAUGCUUAUUCAAGGGAACUAACAUAUCAAGAGUUCUCUCAACAUUAUGUCUAGAACAAUGAAGAUUCUAAGUGGACAAGAAAAAAAUAUAGAUUUGCCAUUAGUAGAAUGUAUUUUACAAGUCCUAAUUUAAGUGAAAAAUUCUAUUUGUGGUUGUUGGUUACGAUUGUUAAAAGGUCUUGCACUUUUAAUGAUCUUAAAAUAUAUGACAAUUAUUUAUUUAAUACGUUUAAAAAAGCAUGUGUUGCACGUGGUCUGUUUGAGGAUGAUCAAGGAUACGUAGAAUGUUUAGAAGAGAUUACUCUUAUGGAAAUGUCACACGUUCAAAUUUUUUCCCGAUUGCAGGAAAAUAACACAAGCAUUAAAGCUUAGGAUUGCAUAAGGAGGGUAUGAGAUCCAAGUCUCUACUGAGUACAUUAUGCCACUAUUUUCCAUUCCUCCUAUAGUGGUUGGUAGUGAGACCACUGCUAAACUCUUGGUCACAAAAAUUGGUUGUGAAUGCAGUUGGAGUUGUUCUAUAUUAUCUUUUAGUAAUGUUUGAAUGUUUGUCACAUCUAUGUCUACUGUUUUGGUAAAUAAAUACUCAAUAUAUUUCAAUUAAUUAAGGGAAAGAUACUAUCACUACAAAAGAAUUUAGUUAUUCUAACUGGUAGUAGUUUUCCAUGUUUUGCACUGUACGUAAUUCAAACAAUGGGUCUUGGGAGAGAAAAUGACAACUGUAAUCAAUUUCAAAGUAUUAUGAUUUGGAAAGAGAUAUUUAAAACGUUUACUUAAAUGCUUACACACCAUUCUCUACCCCUCCAUAUGUUCUUCUAUGUGUUAAGAACUCAUACCAAAAAAAUAAAAAUAAAAAAAUACACAACUAAAAUGGAUGCUACCUAUAACUCUUAAAAGAAAGAAAAUGGCUAGAGAAAAAUUUUCAUAUGUUUAAUAUUUGUCUGCAAUCAAAGAUGGAGUGAAAUAAAUACAUAUUUGAAGCAAUUGAAUGAUAUUGGUAAAGUUCAAUAUAUAUGUAAUAUAUGCAACUAUUAUAUCCAAAAGCUCAUUAGGAUAAAAACUAAAGCCAAACGUGUUAUUGUUAUUCUUGAUCAAAGUAAAAGAUAUAUCAACUACAAUAAACACAAAAAUAAAUUAGUUGGAUGCAACAAAUAAAAAAUAUUAAAUCAAAAUUUAAGAUAAAUAUUUAAUAAAAAUUAUAGAAAAAAAAAUUAAAAUAAUAAUAAUUAAAAUAAUCGUGCCUUAGGCACAAGUUAUAACUAGUAAUACAUAUAUAUAUAUAAAUAAUAAUCUACAAAGGGUGCAUAAUUUGACUAGGACUAAUUUAUAUGACUAGGAUUAAUUUCUAUGACUGGGAUUAAUAUUUAGUAUGAUUAGGACUAAUCUACAAAGGGUGCAUAAUUUGACUAGGACUAAUUUAUAUGACUAGGAUUAAUUUCUAUGACUGGGAUUAAUAUUUAGUAUGAUUAGGACUAAUAUCUAUGAUUAAGUCUGAUUAGGACUAAUACACCCAAAACCUUAAUCGUCAAGUCAGUUUGCUAAACCUUAAUCUCUUCCAUCAUCAUCAUCGUCCUCUUUUAACCAGAAGAAAAAACUAAAACAAAAGUGAAAACGAUCUGCAAAUCCCUACUCACACAAUUGAGCACUAAAUAAGGAUUUGAGGGAUUUUGCUUCCUUACAACACCCUCGAAUUGAGUUUGCUUUGCUUCCUUUAUAAUACUCAAAUCACCCAAAACCGAGCUUGACUUAUUAUGGAGUCUGUUUUGUUUGUAGGAAAUUCGUUAGUUAUGAUUUUUAGGUGGUUCUAAAUUCUGCUGAAUUUUUUUUGAAUUUUUCUGUUUGGAUUUUGAAUUUUUAAUCGUCCAACAGCAUCAAGUUCUUCUUAAUCUGUUUGAAUUCAAGCCCAACAACAUCAAGUUCUUAUUUGGACAAUUGUUCUUAUUUUGCAGUCAAUUCAAUUCUAUAUAAACUGAACUAUUAGUUUUGAUCCUGUAUUACAAUCACAAUUAUUGACUGUAAAUAAUGUGAAUAAGUUGCAGAAUACUUGAAUGAGGAUUAAUUUUAAUACUGUAAAACAAUUCAAUUCUUUUAGGCACAUUGAGACCAAGGACGAAAAACAAAGUUAAUGAAUGAUGGAGUAAUUUAUGUAGUGUAGCUAGGUAGCUUGGGUUAGGAGACAUGUCUGUCCCUCUCUUCAAGUACUCCUGCAUUUGCACUGCAGUUAAAUUAUGCCCGUCCAUCGCAAUGAAUUCUUCAGCUGUCAUCCCAAUCUUAUUACUUUUAAAGUUUCAAUGUCUUAGGAACAUCUCAUGACAUUAUAGCAUAAUGAAACUUUAAUAGUUAUCACUAAAAUACACUCCAAAUUUUGUGUCUAGAGUUGCUUUGCUGCAUCUCAAACUAAUAUGCUAUGCUGUCAUAUCAGUUAUUCGUGUUCAUGUAUUCAGCAUUGGAUGUCUUACAGUGAUCUUCAUUCAUUAAGCAAAACUAAAAAUUCAUCGUAUUAGUAACCAAAAUCAUGUCGACACCUUCUUAGCGAAAUCACUUAUAUAGAAAACUAGAACUAAUGUUAUGGUAUUAUUAGGAGCCCCAAGGAAAAUGAUGUAGUCUGAAACCAUUUGAAUGGGGGAGUGUAUAGAGAGAGCUUUGUCAGAUUUGUACUACCUCUUCCUUGGUAGUAUACUAGCCAUAGCUUUCCUGAUUUUGUUUUCUCCUUAUUUUCCGGCCUCCAUGUGAAAUGUGCAUUGCCUAAUAACAAUGAUGCUUUCUUAAAACAAUAAUAUAAGCUGACACGGGUAUAGGUUUCUUCUACAGACAAACUGAAGUGAUGAGGGAAUUUUAAGUUAAUUAAAUGAGUACGGGACUAGAAACUAAUCUAAUGUAUUUUUAAGAAAAAACAAUGAUGUAUGAAAAAUUAAAAAUUAAUAAAUUAGAAUUAAAUAAUAUCAAGCUAAAUUAAUCAAAAAGACAAAGGAAAGUUUGCUGAAAGUGUAUCUAGAGCCGGUCAUAAUCUGAAGAGGGUGGACUUCGACUCUGACGUUAGCCUUACGUCGGUGACCCAAAAUAUAAUAGCAGACAAGUUUUGAAAACCAGAAGAACAAGCUAAAAUCCAGUGUAGACAAUAAUUAACACCUCACAAUGAAUUUUGUAAGAAAUAUUCAAUUUGAUUAAGUACUUUAACUAAUAUGGCAUAUGCUUGGAAUUUAAAUUUUAAACAAUGUCAAAUGGAGCCUAAAAAGUAAAUGGGAUUUGGAUUUAUACAUAUUGUCUCCUUCAUUCCUUCGAAUGUUUUCGUAGUUGAGUAUCCUUCUAGAUACUAUGUUGAGGUUAAUACCUUUAUUUUCACUUUUUAGCAUACAAUUUUGAUCUAUAUUAUCAUACAAACACAAAAAAAUUGUUUUUUCGUUUAAUGUUAGCAGUUUUGUUUUGUUUCCCUGUUUUACUAACUAAGAAAGUUUUAUUUCAACUACUGUUGAAAUCCUAAAACGUUAGCUUGACACUUUCCCCAUUGUUUUGCCCUUCCCAGUAUUCCACUUAUAAUGCUCCCCCGAGCUGACUUCUUUUAUAUCUACAUUGUCUGACAGAGAAAGAACAAUGGGUACAAAAGCCUUCUUCUGAUGAGUCUGUCAUGUGUAACAACUCCAUCCAGAAAUGCCUAGGCUGAUUUGAUAUUGAAGUUUCCACCUAGACUAAGAGCCGAUAUGAUUUUAAAGAUUUAAGUUUGGAUUAUACAUGUUAAGAUCUAAUUAUAGAGUACUUGAGGAGCUGGUGAUAGUUCAUUGUAGUUGUAGGCAUUCUAGAACUUUGUUGGCUAAGUGCAUAGCACAAAAUAUCGCGACAAUUAUAGUGUGACAAGUUUGACCAUUUUGAGAAACUACAAUUUUGUUUAGAAAGAACUUAGUCAAUAUUACUUGAAUGGGAACAAAAUUAGCCCAUUUUAAUUUAGGUACUUAGAAACACUGAAACAGAACACAAACUUGACAAAUUGAUGCAUUAGCUUGAUUUUUCUGGAAGGAACAUUAAUUAGCAUGGGCACUCCAUAUAACUAGGAAAUAUUAUGUGAGUGAAAAAGCAAAAGAAUAAAUUAGCAUAUAUAAUCCAUUUACGUUUUUAUACAGUAAAUGCAGAGAUAAUAUUAAUUGAUAUCUACAUUAAUAAGGAAGAAAAUGCAAAAGGAUAAUGUUCAGAAGAAUAAUGUUAUCAUAUUCCUUGGUAUGAUAAAUAUGGAUUAAGAAUAGAAAUUUGUUGAAGCCAAAUAUGCAUGUUUCGCCAACUAGCUUAUAAAAAUAUUGAAAUAAUUAGAGAUAUUUUGCAUGCAAUUUGAUUAGCAAGGACAAGUGAGCGUUACGCCUUUUCCAAUAACAAAUCUGAAGACCCUUUCAAUAAAAAUAUAAUAGCCUAAAUACCAAUCGAAUAAUACGUCGUCCAAUGACUUGGCAGGUAAUGUUACUUUCCAGAUGUGAGGCUAAUGGAACUGUGCACUUGGGAAUCCUCCAAGAAUGGUUUGGAAUACAUUGGUGGAACUCCCGAGCUUUCACUUUGUUCUGCACUAUCAUAUUUAUCAUGCUUUUGAGAUUAUUUGAGAUUAUGGUACAAAAACUUUUUUGUUCAUUCUUAUAUUUAUAGUUGUGGUUUUUUCUUAAUGGUUAUGAGAAGUACAAAACAUUAUUGAGAGGGCAUUGAUAGUAAAGGGGUAUACAGUACUUCUUGGAAGUUAAUUAUAUGCAAACUAGAUUUAUGUGAAAUUGUUGUUUGCUAUACAGGUAAACUAUGGUUCCAAACAAUUAUUCGAGACUCUGCCAGUGGCCACAGGAGGACUCUAUUGAAUUGGGAACCAGUUCAAAAUAUAAGCUUUUGUUACAGAUUCGUGUUCUCAAAUGAUGCUUCAUCUCCAUGACGUGUAUGAUACAAAGUCUCAAUAAGGUUAAGCAUUUGCCAACUCUACAGUAUUUCUAUAUGACCGUGGAUCUCCAUGUUCAUUUUUGUAACUUAUCGAUUAAUCUCACUUUCUACUUUAAUCGAUAAAUAUAAAAAUAAAAAUUGUUUACGGGUCACCAUGUGGAGAAGUAGAGGUAGAAUCUAAGCAUACUCAAGCUAGCUGGGUUGUGUUAGUAGCUUAAGUAUGAUCCAAAUCUAUUUUCUGUACUAUGACAUGAGCUGAUAGCUUAGCUUUUGAUGUUAUUGCACUUGAAUAACAUUAACUUUUGAUAGUUAGUAGCAAUUGAACUAUGACAUGAGCCGCUUGAAUGAGGCUGAAGCCUUUGAAGCUUGGGUUUUAGAUAGGGCUGGCAAAGUGACCCGAGACCCGUUAACCCGACACGAACCCGACCCGAUAUAAACAGGUUUGGGUUUAGCCUUAUCGGGUUGGCGGGUCAUUUUGACCCGAACCUGUUAACCUGUUUAAUAUACAGGUCGGGUUCAGGUCUGAAUAUUAACAGGUCGGGUCAGACCCGAAACCCGUUAGAAAACCCUAAGUAUAAAAUAGAAAAAUACCAAUACCCUAUCUAUCCUUGUUAUUUUCUUCUUGGCCGCCACCAUGAACAAACCAGUGAACCACCAUUAACGUCUGUUCUUCUUCAUGUAAAAUGGCAGCAUAUCAUUCAUCAUCAACUCUUCUUCCUUUAGAAGUUGAAAUCAAGAUUUCUUCAGCUAAUGAUCUUAAAAAUGUUAAUUGGAAACAUGGUGAUCUCAAAUCGUAUGUUGUUGUUUGGGUUGAUCCUAACUCCAAUUAAUCAUUCUUCUUCUUCUUCUUCAACUUCAUCAAUCUAUUGAUUUUUCUUCUCACUACUUUCCUUCCUUCUUUGCAGCUUUAAUCUGUCUAAGCCAUGUUCUGACGAAUUCUUGUCAACCAAAACGACCGUUUGAAGCAUAUAUUGGAUAGUACUGGUGUUGGCGGUGGUGAUGGCGAUGCUGUUGCUGAGAUCAACGGUGAGAUUAGAGCACGGUUUCUUGGAAUCAAAAGAAGAUGUACUUCUCUCAUUCUUCAGUUGACAAAUGUUUAUGAACAAAACAAUGAGUUAUCGGUUGUGAAUCUUUCAAUCGAAGAAAUCUUGAAAUAUAGAUGUUAGUACGUUUACUGUUUUUCAUGAUUCAUGAUGUUGAUGAAAAAUUGAGAUCCAUUGAUGAUGGUAAUUUUACAGAUAAUACAGAACCAGUUGGUUUUACGCCACGAUUUGGCUUCCAUCAUCCAAAUCAAGAAGCAACACCAUAUUACCCACAGUCAUAUACAAACAUUCAAUGUGUUUAAGAAAGCAGGUCUAAACAGGUCGACCUGAACCCGACCUGUUUAAUUAGCAGGUCAGGUUCGGGUUUAAGGAAAAAGAGUUAAACAGGUUAACAGGUCAGGUUCGGGUUUAAGCGAAAAACACCCCAACCUGUUAAGACCCGACCUGAACCCGACACGACCCGACACGAUUGCCACCCCUAGUUUUAGAUGACGUGAACAACAAAAUUGACUAUAGGAUUUUGAACCAACUUUUGUGUUAAGCUAGCAAGUGCUAGACAUGGUGGUAUUGACGACUGGAUGAAGAGUGAUAUUAAGCCUACCUUUGCUGCCUAAAGCAUUAACUCUUGCUUUCUUGAGUUUAAAUUUUUUUCCUUUUAAGAGCACAAGACAUUAUUUUAUUUAUUUAUUUUUUUUUUUUAUAAAGCAAAACAAGACACUUGACCACUGUGAUUCUAAAUUUCUGAUAUGAUCAUCCGACUAUAUUCUUUCCCAUAAUCAUCUUUUCUUUACUUAUGCGGUACUAUUUUGAUUCACAUUUUCCUUUGAGCAACACAAGACACUUGGGUAAACAAUUUUUUUUUAUCGUGAAUAGAUAUUAUAAAUAGGAACAUAAGGUCAUGUAUUUUAAUAAAAUAUUUGCAUUUAGCAUUUUGUGCAUACUUAGCUGGUGUAGCUCAGUUGGUUAGAGUGUGUGGCUUUUAAACCACAAAGUCGAAGGUUCAAGCCCUUCCUCCAGCAUCUGUAUUUACUGUAGCUUUGAUAUUUUGGCAUAAUAUUCAUAUUUAUCUCAAGUAGCUCAUUUUGUUCGAGUUUGAUGGUUUUUUACCUCGAUGUUGAGUUCAAGCCUUUUUUAUACAAUUUACAUUUUAAUUGCCAGUUUUAUUACAAUUUGGUGCUUUCAACGAUGUAAUGAAAUUAGUUUCAAUUCUUUUAUAUUGUCAUCAUUCUAGCCUAGAACUAAUAUGUUACACGGCACACAGCUGUUUUCAUCCUCGAAAUCGUUGCGAUCUUUAGAAACUAACACAAAUAGUUGUGAAACAUGGUCUUUAAUGAAGAUGAAGAUAGCUGGCGGACGAAAUUGAGCAGAAAAGGGGAUUUUUUUGUCCACUCCAUGGGUUUUUUAGAAGAAUUUUUUAUCAAAGUUUGUUUGGUAAUUUCUAUGACUUUUCUAAGGUCCCUAUUCUAACCCUCAUGUACAAUUGGCCAAAACAGUUUUUCUAAACAAAAUUUCAUAGUAUUCGGUAUCUCCUGAUAUAGCAAUUGCAACAUCUCCAAGCUUGAAACUCUCACCUGUUCAGAACUUUGUUUAUGGUGUUUCACGUGGUGGAUAGACUUGAGCUUUGGCGGAAGUGCUAUCAAUAGUUGAAAGUAACAACAUGCGUACUAUCAGCAUGUUCCUGCAAGAUUGUUGUCUAUUGUUCCUAGCACAACAACUGAUCUUAAAUAUGGCUGAAACAUUGGCCCAAACUUCUUCACGAGCUCACUAUGUUCCCUAGGUACUGAAGGUGAUUUUUUCUUUUUUAUCUAAAUUUUGGACAGAACAUGAAAAUAACAUGUUACUUAUUGUUUCCUUGGCUGUCUAAUUUCAGAUAUCAUUUGAAAUUCAAAGACCGGAGGAAUUGGCUAUUAAAGAAUCUAGGGAUUAAAGCAUUUAUAUGUAAAUAAAAAAUAAUCUAACAACCAACAAUUUCAACAAUAAGUUAUGACAGUAGUGAUAUCCAAAUUAUCAAAAAAUAAUUAUAGGUUCAAAAUGUCAAUAAGAAAAUCGAUGUAUCUCAUUGACUGGAAAGAAGCAAAUGAGAUUAUGGAGGUAUUCUUCGAAGAAAAAAAAAAGAUAUGAACAAACAAAGACUAAGAAAGAAACAGUCAUUGGAGAGAAGAUACAAAUAUAAGAUAAGUUAAGCGUCAAAAUAGAGAAUCUCAACAACAAUAAAAUAAUUUAUUUAUGUUGUUUUGAGAAAAUCCUACAUAUUAUUGUGUAAGGUAGUAUUUUCAAUAGAAAAUAUUACAUUGCCGACUGCAAUUUACGAAUAUGUUAUCAUAUUUUUGAUAAAAUUAUUGUCACACAAACUUCUAUUAAAUGGUUUCUUUGAAAAAAAUGGUUGUUCAUUUCGUCAUACCAUAUGUGAUUUUAACUUUUAUUUCUACAUCACAUGAUUAUCUUGAGUGGAAUAGAUAUUUGUGUUGUUCAUAACAUCAAACUGGUGGCUUUUUUGUCUCUGUCAAACUACGUUAAUCACUCGCUUAGGGAUGGACACAGAUAAUAAGAUAGAGCUAAUUUUUGAAGGUAUUACUAUUGAUAACGGAUGGUAUACAGUUGACCUUUAUGGCAUACUUACAAGUUAUUAUGGACAAAUAAUAUAUCCAAAUGCUUUUUUGAAAACAAUCUGAAAGGAGAAAAUAAUGGAAAUAAUAAGAUCAACAGUAGAAGAUAUACCACCAGAAGAAGAAGAUGAUACAUAUAUGGACGAAAUGGACAAAAUGGACCUGAUGAAAAAAAAGAUGAUAUACAAGAAAUUUCAAAUGGAUACAUUGAGCUGUUAGAGAUAUUUACUCUAAAAAAUUUAGUUAAUUAGAUUAAUUAUUAUAUUUUUAAGAAUAAUUACUUCAAAUAAAUAAUGGUUGACCAACAUCACCUGAGUAUCUGACAGUCAGAAACCUACUCAGUUUUGCACAGUUGUACUGAGCAUUUGUUGUGUUAUAGCAGUAGCUUAAUGUUACCACCUAUGAUGCAAAAUUUUUGUUAUUAGAGUAUUUGACUAUAGGGACCAAUUAUGUGAUUAUUUAUAAUUUAGAUCAACAAUUUUAUCCAUGCAUCAAUGUCCCUAAGACUAUAAAGCGUCAGAACAAUUAUAUUUUUUAAAUAAAAAAAAAUUAUAUUUUUUAGAGUUCUAUUUUCAAAUUAUUAAUGGUAGUCGUGGCAGCGCCACGGGUUUUACUAGUAUAUAUAUAGGCAUCAUAAUGUCAAUCACUUGCUCAGCUAAUAUAGGUGAGUGCCACCUUGCAUCCUUUUCUGACACAUCAACUUGAUUGCUAAUCAAGUAUCACUGAUGGUCUACCUAAUCACCUGGAUUAAUAGUGUGGGCUUGGAUUUGGACAUCCACUAUUUACAACAAGCCCAAAUAUAUGUGUAGAAGAACAUAGAUGACAGUAUUCACCAGAGCUUGGACGCUUGGUUGCAGAUCGAGAACAAAGAGGGAAAUCUGAAAUUUUUAUUUUUUAACGAGGGAAAAGUUUUGCGAAAUACAGGCCCUUUUAGAUAGAGCCCAACCCAACAAAGAAGCCUGGUGUGGUGUUUGAUGAUAAGUAGGGUUCUUUUCUUUUAACUAUAAAUUAUUGUUUCUCUCUUAUCGAUUGAUCUUCUACCAUCAAAUUAGGGUUUCUUCUUCAUCUCCAUUGUAACACAACAUCAUGAGGGCUAAGGUAACAACAACAUCUUUAACUCUUUCUAUCUCUUAAUCUAUUACAAUUGUUGUUCUCUUUCUAUCUCUUAAUCUAUUAAAAUUGUUGUUAGUAAUGUGUAGGUUUUGAUAUAUUGUGUGAUUUGUUUGUUUGUUAUUUGAUUUAUACAACAGUGGAAGAAGAAGCGAAUGAGGAGAUUGAAGAGGAAGCGUCGAAAGAUGAGACAGAGAUCCAAGUAGAUUGAUCGAAAUUAAAGUUUUAUGUUUUUGUUUUGUUUUAGUCGGUAGAUAUAUGUAUCGAUAUCGGAGUUUUCUUUUUAGAUCGGAAACGAUUUCACUUUCGGCGGAUGAAUCGGAAUCGGAAUAGCUACUAAAAUAGUAGUUUUAUGUUUAUCGUAAUUUGUAUCGGAUUUUAUGGGUUUUUUCCUAAUAUCGGAAGAAUCGGAUUAGUAGCUUAUGGUUAUGGUUAUUUGGAUGAAUGUUUGAUUUGAUUAAUUAGUUUGAUUUAGUUUUUAAUUUUUUAUUAAAUUGAAAAGAUAGCAUGGCCUGAGAUUAAGAUUAGUUUCAUAAUUCCUUUAUUCAUGAUUUGCCCCUUGUUUGCGGUUUUUAUUUAAGCAAUUUUUAUCACUAAAAUUAGUCAUGCUUUCACACUAAAAACCUUUACAUGAUAG
rnacentral:lncRNA from 1 species